rnacentral:rRNA from 1 species
GACGAACCGUGCGAACGUUGUUCGGAUUCAUUGGGCGUAAAGGGUGCGUAGGCGGUCGGGUAAGUCGGAUGUGAAAUCUCAGGGCUCAACCCUGAAACUGCAUUCGAUACUGCUUGGCUAGGGUACUGGAGAGGAGACUGGAAUUUACGGUGUAGCAGUGAAAUGCGUAGAUAUCGUAAGGAAGACCAGUGGCGAAGGCGAGUCUCUGGACAGUUACCGACGCUGAGGCACGAAGGUCAGGGGAGCAAACGGG